UACCUUUGUACCCGUAUUGGUGAUUUCAUAUUCUUGGUAUAAGAUAUGAGAUUGAAAAGGGAAUCCGGUGCAAAUCCGGAGCUGUAUCCCCAGCUGUAAAUUCUUUAUAGUGAUUUUGCUCUACAAGUGUCACUUUUUCUGAAAAAGAGAAGGGAAGACCCGCAAAAUUGAGAAUAAGCCAGAAGACCUGCCAAACAAGUGCUCCUUUUG
rnacentral:ncRNA from 28 species